UAUCCGUAGGUGAACCUGCGGAAGGAUCAUUAUUGUAUAACCGAGGUGCGAGGGCUGUCGCUGACCCGAAAGGUCGUGCACGCCCGAGUGCCCUCACACACAUCCAUCUCACCCCUAUAUGCACCACCGCGUGGGUCCCCCUUUGGCUUGUUCGGAGGGGGGCUUACGUCUUCGCACAAACUUUGUAUGCAGUGUAGAAUGUAUUUUUUGUUUUUGCGAUCACGCAAUCAAUACAACUUUCAACAACGGAUCUCUUGGCUCUC
rnacentral:misc_RNA from 1 species